GCCUGCUCAGACUCUCAACAUCGCUCUCUUUCUCUCGCUCGCCCAAACACCGGGUUUAGAUCGAUACAUUCAUCUGGCCUUCGCGAUUUCUAUUCUUCAAUUUAUGUUCUUUGCGAUUUCUUCUUAUGAUCGAUGCCUUCAAUAUCAUUUGGAAUUCUGUUCUUCGCGAUUUCGUCAAAGUUGUUGCUGUGGAUUGCAAUUGAAUUCCUUUAGAUUGUGUUUUAUUGAGAGAUUCUCUGAGAGCAGUGGAUUUGGGCCAAGGUUUUCCCCUUCUCUCUUUCAUUCUUCUUCUGAUUCGGUAUUAUUUGGGACCAGGAGACCGAUGCUGUAGGUCAAAGAAGGAAGUCCUACUAUACAUUAAUCAAAUGAACAGAGCUGCCGAGGUAUGCAAAAGUUUAAGUUCCAUGACAACUUAUCUUGCUCAGACACACAUAGAUGUAACAUAGAACAUGGAACUUCCAUUAGUAUAUUAAAUAAUUGAACAGAUGAUUAGCAGCAUAGUUCAAGAAUGCUUUAUUCAAAGCUGGUAAAUGGGAUUAUAACUAUGUAGCACGGAUACGGACACGGGACACGAUACGGACACGUGAAAACGCAAUUUUUCAAAAAAUAGGGGACACGACACG